rnacentral:rRNA from 1 species
AUUGAACGCUGGCGGCAGGCCUAACACAUGCCAGUCGAGCGGAUGAAGGGAGCUUGCUCCUGGAUUCAGCGGCGGACGGGUGAGUAAUGCCUAGGAAUCUGCCUGGUAGUGGGGGAUAACGUCCGGAAACGGGCGCUAAUACCGCAUACGUCCUGAGGGAGAAAGUGGGGGAUCUUCGGACCUCACGCUAUCAGAUGAGCCUAGGUCGGAUUAGCUAGUUGGUGGGGUAAAGGCCUACCAAGGCGACGAUCCGUAACUGGUCUGAGAGGAUGAUCAGUCACACUGGAACUGAGACACGGUCCAGACUCCUACGGAAGGCAGCAGUGGGGAAUAUUGGACAAUGGGCGAAAGCCUGAUCCAGCCAUGCCGCGUGGGUGAAGAAGGUCUUCGGAUUGUAAAGCACUUUAAGUUGGGAGGAAGGGUAGUAAGUUAAUACCUUGCUGUUUGGACGUUACCAACAGAAUAAGCACCGGCUAACUUCGU